rnacentral:tRNA from 1 species
GGAGGGGUGACCGAGUGGCCUAUGGUGACGGUCUUGAAAACCGUUGUUGGUGCAAGCCAACCGUGGGUUCGAAUCCCACCCCCUCCGCCA